CAUUCUGUCUUCUACAGAGAAAAAAGAAGAAUAGAGGAAAGACAGAUACAGAGUCAGAAACGUUUAUUGUGUCAGAAAUAGUCACAAAUGGUAAAUACUAUCUCAACAAAGACCACGGGUUUGAUCCAUAUGUUCUAGCAGAAUUCCUUACGGUACAGAUGAAAAGCCUGAAAGACGCUCUCAAGAGGAAGAAAAAAAUAUUAGUAUCAUCACAGAAGGUUUGCUCUAUCACUCUAAGGAGAACACAAGCAGUUUUUGGUCAAGGUGCUAAUCCCUCUGCAUAUAUUCUACCUGUGUCUGCAGUUGUACCAUGCCCAAGUUUUUUCCUAUGUCGUCCACUUAUUGGAGGAGCCUCCAAGCUUAACUUAGUUUGUCAUCAGAGGACUCAUGAAAUGCUGCUCCAAAACGUCGAGUUGUAAAGAGAUGAGCGAAGAAAAUUUGAAUUCCCAAAUAAAUUGAGAGGCAUUGUUGGCUAGUAAGGUGCCUAUCAGCUUUGACUUCAACGUCAUGGAUCAUGUACCUGAUGGUAAUUACACCUAUGUUCUUGUAGAUACCUCUGAUUCUUCUUCGCUUCAAAAUUUUCUGCAAGAUCCACCUUUUCAAGAGGGUCAUUCCAUGUCAAUUCGAACAGACUUGUAACCACCCGACUCAGAUUUCCUUGAUUUUUUUUUACUGAAUCUAUCAGUCAAAGUAAGAAAAAACCCAAAUUUUCAGCUUCAUAUCUUCAAUAUUUCUUGAGAAAAAUUUUUUUGAAGUUUUAUGGCCUUCUCUAAAAAUGCUCUCUCCAAACUCAGAAAACUGGAAUGACUCGUGUUUGAAAAAGCCUCAUAAGUUUUGGAGUUUUAAAAAUUUUAAGCUGAAAUUUGUCACACUAGUUCGUGUUAGUAUGUAUUUUAAGGGAAACAUUCCCCAUUGAACCCAACUUAGGAGAGCCAACUGAGCCUAAGAUACGCCGUUUUAGCUCUGAUUUUUAACGCUGAAAACUAGUUUUCUUAAAAUGGGCGUAGCAACCGAAGCCAACAAGAUAUUACCAACUUUUUUUUUUGUAAAUCAACUUCAGAGUAUGCUCUAACUGAUUAAAAAAUGAAAAUCGUGGGUAUGCAGCUCCUUCAUUGGUUAAUCACACUUUUUAGCAAAAAACGCUCCAAAAAAAUUGAGUCUGGGGGCACAUGUUCAAAAAAACCUUCCCGAGGAACGGUAUGUGAAACAAGUGUGAAAACUAUCUUAAUCUCUUCGUUUUGAUGUGUAGUAGAAGAAUUUCGAUGUUGUCAAGCUCAAUUUUGCGUGUAACACCCCCCAUUCAAGAUGGCAGCCAAAACAGGGGUUCGGGGGUUGAAAAUUUUGGAAUUUGCCUUUGAUGUCGUUUUUGGGGUCUAUGCCUAUGUAACUUUUGUCGUAGAUUCCGAAUUUGAGGUUUAAAAUCCUUUCCGGUCCAAAGGGAUGCCCCAAAUUCAAGAUGGUCGUCAAAAUUCUUGCGGUAGGGUCUAAACCACUGUAGGUGCAUUCUGGUGCCAAGUUGCGUAUCCAACUUAGGGUUUUUUGGGUUGUAGAUUCCAAAUAUGAGGUCCAAAUAACUUAAUAGGCUCAUCGAAGUUCUCUAAUGACCAAAAUGAUGGCCAACAUGACGGCCGCUUACUAACUGAGAUCGCUAGACGGUUACCUAGAUGCAUAUUAAUGCAUGAAAUAAUUCACAUUUGUGUUGGAGCCCUUGGUGAAAGCCAAUACCUAUCUAAAUAAAAAAUUAACAAUAUCUGAAUGGUUUUUGCGGGAGGAAAAUCAAAAUAAACACAGAUAGGCACUGAAAAAUUUUUAUUAUUUUGCUUUUUAUCAAAAAACUGAACCUUCUGGCAACAUAUUUAGACAUGACAUUGGCCGUCAAUCUAUGCUAUGUUCCUAAAAAUUUAAUUACAACCAUUUCAUAAUCCAAUAACUUACUUACAAAAUAAAUACAUUAAGAAAGGAAAAGCAUGAAAGUUAUAGCAAAAUUUCAACGACCAGUUCUCUAAAUAACAACCAUACCAAAAGAUCUCCAUGACUCGGAAAAUCUUCUAAAAAGCUCUACGAGUGGUGAGAAUAAAAUAAGAAUAAGAAAAAGCACUUAAGGAGUUUUAAAAUCAAGACAAUUUCAAAGAUGUCUUAAAAUUUUGGCCUUCAAGGCUCAGUAAACCAUGUAUUGAUCAUUUUUUUAAACACUGAAAUUUAGCUUUGUAUCUACUGUUCUGAGAAUAUAUUUUUCAAACAAAGCAAGAGUUACAAUUAUGAUUUUCCAGUUUAUGAUGAUGAAAAGUUCUGGGUUAUAACUAUAAAAUGGCUUCAGCUAAGUUUCAGUUUCAAAAAUGUUAAAUAAGUCUAGCAGAAUCGAGUGUUAAAGACUUUUGUUAAAAAUUAAAAUAGGUAUGCUAAGUUGAUUUAAGUUACCUAAGGUAACUGCGCCAAUGAAUGGCACCUUAGUGGUGGAGGUUGACUUUGAUUAGUUCUCAUAAUUUCAAAACUUGAUGAAUCUUUAAGUUUUUGCUAUCAAUCUUCAGCAAAUCUUUUCUAAUUUGUGAAUAAAACCAAAAUUCGUUUUAAUCUUAAAAAUAAAUGUUAAAAUAACUGGUUUUAAUGAAAAAAUUCAUGAUGCACCAGUGAAUGACACCUAUGCACCAGUGAUUGACAUCCAACUGCCCCAGUUCAUGGCACCCCCUGAAGAUUUUUACUUUCACUCGAAAAA